rnacentral:rRNA from 1 species
GACAGAGGAUGCAAGCGUUAUCCGGAAUGAUUGGGCGUAAAGCGUCUGUAGGUGGCUUUUAAGUCCGCCGUCAAAUCCCAGGGCUCAACCCUGGACAGGCGGUGGAAACUAUCAAGCUGGAGUACGGUAGGGGCAGAGGGAAUUUCCGGUGGAGCGGUGAAAUGCGUAGAGAUUGGAAAGAACACCAAUGGCGAAAGCACUUUACUGGGCUAUUACUGACACUGAGAGACGAAAGCUAGGGUAGCAAAUGGG